rnacentral:rRNA from 1 species
GGCAAGCGUUGUCCGGGAUUUAUUGGGCGUAAGCGAGCGCAGGCGUUUCUUAAGUCUGAUGUGAAAGCCCCCGGCUCNACCGGGGAGGGUCAUUGGAAACUGGGAGACUUGAGUGCAGAAGAGGAGAGUGGAAUUCCAUGUGUAGCGGUGAAAUGCGUAGAUAUAUGGAGGAACACCAGUGGCGAAGGCGGCUCUCUGGUCUGUAACUGACGCUGAGGCUCGAAAGCGUGGGGAGCGAACAGGAUUAGAUACCCUGGUAGUCCACGCCGUAAACGAUGAGUGCUAAGUGUUGGAGGGUUUCCGCCCUUCAGUGCUGCAGCAAACGCAUUAAGCACUCCGCCUGGGGAGUACGACCGCAAGGUUGAAACUCAAAGGAAUUGACGGGGGCCCGCACAAGCGGUGGAGCAUGUGGUUUAAUUCGAAGCAACGCGAAGAACCUUACCAGGUCUUGACAUCCUUUGACCACUCUAGAGAUAGAGCUUCCCCUUCGGGGGCAAAGUGACAGGUGGUGCAUGGUUGUCGUCAGCUCGUGUCGUGAGAUGUUGGGUUAAGUCCCGCAACGAGCGCAACCCUUAUUGUUAGUUGCCAUCAUUUAGUUGGGCACUCUAGCGAGACUGCCGGUGACAAACCGGAGGAAGGUGGGGAUGACGUCAAAUCAUCAUGCCCCUUAUGACCUGGGCUACACACGUGCUACAAUGGGAAGUACAACGAGUUGCGAAGUCGCGAGGCUAAGCUAAUCUCUUAAAGCUUCUCUCAGUUCGGAUUGUAGGCUGCAACUCGCCUACAUGAAGCCGAAUCGCUAGUAAUCGCGGAUCAGCACGC